CAUAACAAACAAAUCUCCAGCAGCAAACAAAGAAAGAAAGAAGAGAUCCAAGCUUCAAGCCGCCGAACCCCUCUUUUUCCUUCCACCGUGCGCGCCACCAACAGCCAUCGUAUGCGCCGCGUGAAAUCAAGCUACGGGUAGUUGAGAUUUGGGUUUUGGGGUGGCUUAUAAUCGAUUGGCUCGGGUAUUUAGAGUGAGUUUCGAUUUGGGAGCUUGGUUGUGGUGUUAAUGGUGGGUAUGGAGGUGCCAAGCAUGCGGGGAUGGUGUUGGCAGAAGCAU